AUUGAACGCUGGCGGCAUGCUUUACACAUGCAAGUCGAACGGCAGCACGAAAGAGCUUGCUCUUUUGGUGGCGAGUGGCGAACGGGUGAGUAAUGCAUCGGAACGUACCGAGUAAUGGGGGAUAACUGUCCGAAAGGAUAGCUAAUACCGCAUACGCUUUGAGAAGGAAAGUGGGGGCUCUUCGGACCUCACGUUAUUCGAGCGGCCGAUGUCUGAUUAGCUAGUUGGUGGGGUAAGGCCUACCAAGGCGACGAUCAGUAGCGGGUCUGAGAGGAUGAUCCGCCACACUGGGACUGAGACACGGCCCAGACUCCUACGGGAGGCAGCAGUGGGGAAUUUUGGACAAUGGGCGCAAGCCUGAUCCAGCCAUGCCGCGUGUCUGAAGAAGGCCUUCGGGUUGUAAAGGACUUUUGUUAGGGAAGAAAAGGAUAGUGUUAAUACCAUUAUCUGCUGACGGUACCUAAAGAAUAAGCACCGGCUAACUACGUG
rnacentral:rRNA from 1 species